rnacentral:rRNA from 1 species
GACAGAGGGGGCAAGCGUUGCUCGGAAUUACUGGGCGUAAAGGGCGCGUAGGCGGAUAGUUUAGUCAGAGGUACAAGCCCAGGGCUCAACCUUGGAACUGCCUUUGAUACUGGCUAUCUUGAGUUCGGGAGAGGUGAGUGGAAUGCCGAGUGUAGAGGUGAAAUUCGUAGAUAUUCGGCGGAACACCAGUGGCGAAGGCGACUCACUGGCCCGAUACUGACGCUGAGGCGCGAAAGCGUGGGGAGCAAACAGG